GCGGGGGUUUCCAAGCGGUCAAAGGAGCAAGGCUUAGGACCUUGUGUGCGCAAGCCUUCAUGGGUUCGAAUCCCAUCUCCCGCA
rfam:Candidatus Altiarchaeales archaeon A3 Ga0073111_1131, whole genome shotgun sequence.